AGUGGAUGGGGAGCAACCUAGUUGUGCGUGUGUAAAGGUAGUGCCAAGAAAAGCGAUGAUCAUGUUGAAAAUCAAUUCCCGGUACCCGAAACCGACACAGGUGGGCAAGUAGAGAAUACUAAGGGGCGCGAGGUAACUCUCUCCAAGGAACUCGGCAAAAUGACCCCGUAACUUAGGGAGAAGGGGUGCCACCGAGAGGUGGUCGCAGUGAAGAGGCCCAGGCGACUGUUUAGCAAAAACAUAGGUCUCUGCAAACUCGAAAGAGGAGGUAUAGGGGCUGACGCCUGCCCAGUGCCGGAAGGUUAAAGAAGUUGGUCAGUCUUAGGAUGAAGCUAGCGACUGAAGCCCCGGUGAACGGCGGCCGUAACUAUAACGGUCCUAAGGUAGCGAAAUUCCUUGUCGGGUAAGUUCCGACCCGCACGAAAGGCGUAACGAUCUGGGCGCUGUCUCGGAGAGAGGCUCGGCGAAAUAGGAUUGUCUGUGAAGAUACGGACUACCUGCAUUUGGACAGAAAGACCCUAUGAAGCUUUACUAUAGCUUGGAAUUGUGUUCGGGCUUCCUGUGCGCAGGAUAGGUGGGAGGCGUAGAAGGUAUUCUUGUGGGGAUACUGGAGCCAACGGUGAGAUACCACUCUCAGGAGGCUAGAAUUCUAACUUAAUUAAGGACAGUUUCAGGUGGGUAGUUUGACUGGGGCGGUCGCCUCCAAAAAGGUAACGGAGGCGUACAAAGGUUCCCUCAGACUGGUUGGAAAUCAGUCGAAGAGUGCAAAGGCAGAAGGGAGCUUGACUGCGAGAAGUACAGUUCGAGCAGGGUGGAAACACGGUCUUAGUGAUCCGACGGUGCUGUGUGGAAGGGCCGUCGCUCAACGGAUAAAAGUUACUCUAAGGAUAACAGGCUGAUCUCCCCCAAGAGUUCACAUCGUCGGGGAGGUUUGGCACCUCAUGUCGGCUCAUCGCAACCUGGGCGGAAGUACGUCCCAAGGGUUGGGCUGUUCGCCCAUUAAAGCGGUACGUGAGCUGGGUUCAGAACGUCGUGAGACAGUUCGGUCCAUAUCCGAUGUAGGCGUGAGAAUAUUGAGAGGAGCCUUCCUUAGUACGAGAGGACCGGGAAGGACGCACCGCUGGUGUACCUGUUAUGAUGCCAAUUGUAAACGCAGGGUAGCCAAGUGCGGAGAGGAUAACCGCUGAAAGCAUCUAAGUGGGAAGCCCACCUCAAGAUGAGUAUUCUGGUGUAAGGUCACGGGAAGACGACCCGUAAAUAGGCACGAGGUGGAAGUGCAGAGAUGUAUGAAGCCGAAGUGUACUAAUAGACCGUCGGCUUGA
rnacentral:rRNA from 1 species